rnacentral:sRNA from 1 species
UUCAAAGAAAAGGUGCCACAGAGACCCAAGAAAAUCAAAAUAAAAAGAAAAUAAAAAUGAUAUAUGACAAGGGAAGAAAGGGUGGUACUGUAGUACUCAACGAUGGUGGGUGGGGCUCUUGCUAGAGCUAUGUGGCUUGCCUGGCUUUCUCCUGCUCCUACCUAAGCGACGGCCUGGGAGUGCUCUGGUGGUGGCUGCGAGGUAGAAGCUCCACUAGGUCCAGCAGCAGGGACCAACCUCUCUGCAUGUCGAUCCUCAAUAGUCUUAGACUGGUUCUCACGGUUUGCAUCAUCCACUCCUCCUCUGCGAGUACAUACACAAGGCCUGAUCCUAGAAAUGGCUCUCCACAUCUUGUGCAUCAUACUGUUGUUCUUCCUUGUCAAUGCUAUCAUCCAUGCCAUCUGCUGUGAGAUAUCGUCACCUGCUGGUGGUGGUGAAACGCGGUACGGUGUUGGAUCCUCAGGGAGCAACAAAUAUGGCUGAGCGUGCGCGAGAGAUGUGGGAUAAGCAUAAUCCUCAUAAAUCUCAUCGUUACUGAUAACAUGCUCAUCUGUAGGCUGAGCCUCUGCAGUCCGGCGUCGUCGAGGAACGGUCUUAGAAGGGUCAGGAACAAGGUACUGCUCGUUAUGUUCGAACACUGGGUUUGUCGUGGAGAGAAGUGAAGUAAUAUGCUGGUUGGGUAUCCCGCGAAAUAAUUGUUAUCGUCUCUGCCCAUAAAUGGUACACUCGACUUCUUGGCUUGAGGGAGCUGGUAUGAUCAGGUAGUCCAAGUCCAUUCGCUCUCAUUUAAUGGAUGACUCAGCCCUAGAGAGGUCUAGAUCGCAGCCAAGGAACAAUGGAAUAAGUGCAGUACUAGCUAAAAUGCUCUGCGCGGAUGAUUUAGAAACAAUAUUCUUCAUCUUCACCAAUGUGUCACACACAACCGCAUCUACAUUAGUGUCAGGAGCUGGAAGAUCGGAGUAGGUGCCUAGCUAUCGUGUUCCUGUAGCUAUCGUGUUCCAAAAGUUGUCAGCAACCGUAGGAGACAACUUUGAAAACUCAACCGCUUCUCCUUUCGUAAAUCCAUACAUGUCGUAGAUCUCAAACAUUGUCUUGU